rnacentral:rRNA from 1 species
ACGGUGCGGGCUAAUAUCCUGCACUAAUGACGGUACCUGAAGAAUAAGCACCGGCUAACUACGUGCCAGCAGCCGCGGUAAUACGUAGGGUGCAAGCGUUAAUCGGAAUUACUGGGCGUAAAGCGUGCGCAGGCGGUUUUGCAAGUCUGAUGCGAAAUCCCCGGGCUCAACCUGGGAAUUGCAUUGGAGACUGCAAGGCUAGAAUCUGGCAGAGGGGGGUAGAAUUCCACGUGUAGCAGUGAAAUGCGUAGAGAUGUGGAGGAACACCGAUGGCGAAGGCAGCCCCCUGGGUCAAGAUUGACGCUCAUGCACGAAAGCGUGGGGAGCAAACAGGAUUAGAUACCCUGGUAGUCCACGCCUUAAACGAUGUCUACUAGUUGUCGGGUUUUAAUUAACUUGGUAACGCAGCUAACGCGUGAAGUAGACCGCCUGGGGAGUACGGUCGCAAGAUUAAAACUCAAAGGAAUUGAC